CCCUUAGAUGUUCUGGGCCGCACGCGCGCUACACUGACGAAUGCAACGAGCUUAUAACCUUGGCCGAAAGGUCUGGGUAAUCUCCAAAUUUCGUCGUGAUGGGGAUAGAUUAUUGCAAUUAUUAAUCUUCAACGAGGAAUGCCUAGUAAGCGCAAGUCAUCAGCUUGCGUUGAUUACGUCCCUGCCCUUUGUACACACCGCCCGUCGCUCCUACCGAUUGACUGGUCCGGUGAAGCGUUCGGACCGUGGCCUUUGGACGGUUCGCCGUCUGUUGGCUGCGGGAAGUUCGUUAAACCUUAUCAUUUAGAGGAAGGAGAAGUCGUAACA
rnacentral:rRNA from 1 species